ensembl:misc_RNA Metazoa_SRP Metazoan signal recognition particle RNA
GCCAGGCGUGGUGGUGCACGCCUGUAAUCCCAGCUACUUGGGAGGCUGAGGUGGGAGGAUCGCUUGAACCCAGGAGGUGGAGGUUGCAGUGAGCCAAGAUUGCGCCACUGCACGCCAGCCUGGGUAACAGAGUGAGACUCCAUUUAAA